rnacentral:lncRNA from 1 species
GAGUAGUUUGCCCAUCUCCUCUCUUGUUUAAUUAGACUUUCUGGUUAUCCAGAGUUAGUCUUACUCCGUUAUGAAAGUAGUCUUACACGUGUUCAUACACGUAUACCUUCAUGGGCCAAAGUUGUAACAUGUUGAUUUCUGUUUGGGCUUAUGUUGUAAAAUUGUUGGGCUUGAUCGACCAUGUAAUUACCCAAUUUGGGUCUUAAUAAAAAU